rnacentral:rRNA from 1 species
GUGCCAGCAGCCGCGGUAAUACAGAGGGUGCAAGCGUUAAUCGGAAUUACUGGGCGUAAAGGGUGCGUAGGUGGUUUUGUAAGUUAGGUGUGAAAGUCCCGGGCUUAACCUGGUGAUUGCGCCUGAUACUGUAAGACUAGAGUACUGUAGAGGAAAGUGGAAUUUCCGGUGUAGCGGUGAAAUGCGUAGAUAUCGGAAGGAACACCAGUGGCGAAGGCGACUUUCUGGACAGUUACUGACACUGAGGCACGAAAGCAUGGGGAGCAAACAGGAUUAGAUACCCCCGUAGUCC